rnacentral:rRNA from 1 species
GAUGAACGCUGGCGGUGUGCUUAACACAUGCAAGUCGAACGAUGAAGCCCAGCUUGCUGGGUGGAUUAGUGGCGAACGGGUGAGUAACACGUGAGUAACCUGCCCUUAACUCUGGGAUAAGCCUGGGAAACUGGGUCUAAUACCGGAUAGGAGCGUCCACCGCAUGGUGGGUGUUGGAAAGAUUUAUCGGUUUUGGAUGGACUCGCGGCCUAUCAGCUUGUUGGUGAGGUAAUGGCUCACCAAGGCGACGACGGGUAGCCGGCCUGAGAGGGUGACCGGCCACACUGGGACUGAGACACGGCCCAGACUCCUACGGGAGGCAGCAGUGGGGAAUAUUGCACAAUGGGCGCAAGCCUGAUGCAGGGACGCCGCGUGAGGGUGACGGCCUUCGGGUUGUAAACCUCUUUCAGUAGGGAAGAAGCGAAAGUGACGGUACCUGCAGAAGAAGCACCGGCUAACUACGUG